rnacentral:rRNA from 1 species
AUUGAACGCUGGCGGCAGGCCUAACACAUGCAAGUCGAGCGGAUGAAGGGAGCUUGCUCCUGGAUUCAGCGGCGGACGGGUGAGUAAUGCCUAGGAAUCUGCCUGGUAGUGGGGGAUAACGUCCGGAAACGGGCGCUAAUACCGCAUACGUCCUGCGGGAGAAAGUGGGGGGUCUUCGGACCUCACGCUAUCAGAUGAGCCUAGGUCGGAUUAGCUAGUUGGUGGGGUAAAGGCCUACCAAGGCGACGAUCCGUAACUGGUCUGAGAGGAUGAUCAGUCACACUGGAACUGAGACACGGUCCAGACUCCUACGGGAGGCAGCAGUGGGGAAUAUUGGACAAUGGGCGAAAGCCUGAUCCAGCCAUGCCGCGUGUGUGAAGAAGGUCUUCGGAUUGUAAAGCACUUUAAGUUGGGAGGAAGGGCAGUAAGUUAAUACCUUGCUGUUUUGACGUUACCAACAGAAUAAGCACCGGCUAACUUCGUG